rnacentral:snoRNA from 1 species
ACUGCCUUUAGGUAUGGCUCCUGUGCAUCAGUAGGUGGCAGAGAGGAGAGAAGCUAUACUGAGCUUAGUGUUGUGACCUCUGAACAUCUGAAUGAUGAGUAGCCUAGAAUU